rnacentral:rRNA from 1 species
GAUGAACGCUGGCGGCGUGCCUAAUACAUGCAAGUCGAGCGAACAGAUGAGAAGCUUGCUUCUCUGAUGUUAGCGGCGGACGGGUGAGUAACACGUGGGUAACCUACCUAUAAGACUGGGAUAACUCCGGGAAACCGGGGCUAAUACCGGAUAAUAUUUUUAACCGCAUGGUCCAAUAGUGAAAGACGGUUUCGGCUGUCACUUAUAGAUGGACCCGCGCCGUAUUAGCUAGUUGGUAAGGUAACGGCUUACCAAGGCGACGAUACGUAGCCGACCUGAGAGGGUGAUCGGCCACACUGGAACUGAGACACGGUCCAGACUCCUACGGGAGGCAGCAGUAGGGAAUCUUCCGCAAUGGGCGAAAGCCUGACGGAGCAACGCCGCGUGAGUGAUGAAGGUCUUCGGAUCGUAAAACUCUGUUGCUAGGGAAGAACAAAUUUGUUAGUAACUGAACAAGUCUUGACGGUACCUAACCAGAAAGCCACGGCUAACUACGUGCCAGCCGCCGCAGUAA